rnacentral:lncRNA from 1 species
CAGGGGCCAGGGGGUCUGGUUUUAUAGUCCCUUCAAGUGAAUACUUUGAUUCUGUAGAAGAGGUAUGAUCUCCAGGGGCCAGGGGGUCUGGUUUUAUAGUCCCUUCAAGUGAAUAUGGGCCGUUGGAUCAAACCGACAUUGAUUGAACGGUUAUCCUUGAUCCUUUAGGUCGGUCGAGAUUGAUCCCGAAAGAGAGUCCUGUUUGGACUCUAGGAGGGGGCGGGCGCCCAGGUCAACUGGGCGGGCGCCCAGUGCCUGGCCCCGUUCGGCCUCCACUUCCUUCUCGUGGCUUCUGGAGUCUUCUAGAUGGCAGAAAAUUGCGCGGCACGUUAGUAUCUCUAUGUAAUCCCGACGUGUGGGCCUUUCUUCCGUAUUUCCAGAUAACCCCUGCAGAAAUAAACAAACACCAAAACUCGUGGAAUUCUGUCAGAUAAAACCCUAAGUCUAGGUGUUGGUUGCAUUUGGAUCCUUUUCUAUGAUUAGUUGAUGGUUAAAUGGGAGCAUUAAGGACCGUCAACAAGCUCCCCCAAGCUUAACCUUUGCUCGUCCCUGAGCAAAGAUGAACUGAUGAGUUUCUGCAGUGGUUUUAUGUCUUAAAGAUAUACAUGCGUUCAAACAAGAUCUCAUCUCUAGGUUAGGGUAAACUGUUAAGAUUUAAACUUACUCAGUGUACCUUCCACCAUGGGGCUUGCAACCGUUACUUGUGUCUUGAGCAGUUAAAAGAUAGAACGGUCUAGUCAAGCGCCAUGUCUCUUGUUCUUUGAUUAACUAUAACUCUAGAGUUUUUGCAGAUUUUCAAAUAAAACUCAGAGAUUCCUUGUAUGACUCUCUCUAGUCUCUCUUUUGUGGUAUUUCUAGAUCCUUUCCAACGCAGUAAUGAUAUAUGCCUUCUCUGAAAGUAUGUAGUAUUUGUGGUAUGAGGCAUAGUGACAUUGCCUUCUCUCUCACCCUACUCUAAUAAGGCUUUUGAUAUGUGGAGCUCAUAGGUGGGAGAGAGCUAAUAUAUACUUACAAGACAUUUAUUGCAUAGUCAAACCAUGGAUCCAGAAGAACAACUCAAUAAGUCAAAUCAAGAUGUGCAUGUGUGGCGAAUGAAUGGUGUAUGGUGAUGAUGGUGAUAAUGGUGAAAACAAUGGUGAAAGUCUAAUUCUACUUUUGCUCUUUUGUGGGGAUGUAUACCUUCCUUGCUCUUUUGAAACUUUUGGGGAGAAUGAGAUGCUCUGUAUUUUCUUUUUCUUUCCUCUUAGGUGGGUAUCUUGUACCCCUAAUUCUACUGUCGGACACUUGUCCAUUUUUACCUCUCGUCUCACUUUUUUUUUCUUUUCUUUCGAGGUUCCAGGCACUUGCCCCUUUUUAUUUCCUCGUAUCCUUUUUUCUCUCUUUUUUAGAGCACUCAUCUCUUGAAAUAAUGUAGCAAGUGGUAGUAACCAAGAUAACUUGAGCAUUAUUUCACAGGGAAAAAUAGAAAUAUUUUUGGCUAUUCUCUCCCGGAUUAGGAGUAGAAUACUUUUGGGUGGUUCUGGAGAUGGAAAUGGAUGGAUAUAUGUGGAUGUGUACUUCCGAAGUAGAAGCAGCAUGUAUGAGUGAACGUGCAAGUGAAUCUUGAUUUUAACCACAUGACAAGCUCCUAAGGGUCUACACAGCUUGACCACACUCAAUGCUCAUAAGUAGUAAAAAGUAAAUGUGUGGCUCAAAGUCUAGCAAGCAUGUAUAUAUGGCUGUGGUAGGAAUUUAAACUCUCAUCAUACAGGAACUCAUCAUGCAACAUUUUAAAGAUUUUCAAAGAUAAAAUUCUCUAGAAUUCUAGCAUCUCUAGGAACAGAUAAACAGCAGCUCAACCUUCCCAUAUCGUAUCCGUUAACGUCUUAGACUUUAGAUCAAGUACUCUUCCCACAAGUUCAGGUUUAGAGCAAAUCUUAAUUAAUAACAGUCAUGCCUAAACUUGAGAGAGAUUUCAAUUUUGAGAACUAGUCAUGGCAGAGCAACUAUUCAUCAUUUCCAUGUGAGAGCUUAUCGUGUUGGUUCAUAGCAAACUUUAUUUAUUUAUUUAUUUAGCAAACUAAGCAAAGAUAUAUAUAUAUAUAUAUAUAUAAGAACAAAAUCUUUAUUUAGGUUUUUAUGAUUAUGCAUCUUUUUAUUAUUUAAGUAAAGUAUAAAUAUGAGUAGAAUACUUAGCUGGAUAAAUGGAGGUGCUCUCCCCCAAGCUGGAUUUUGACGUAGUUUCUCCUGAUGUAGCUAGCAGGUGGCGGAGGUGUAUUUGAAUGUCGGCAGCACUCUAACAGCGAUUAGGAUGUCCUCCGUCUACCAGUCUUCUUUGAUCCUUGAAUUCUGUGGAGCUCAAAUAGACAACAAAACUUUGUGGAACUAGUUAAGUGUUAGCAUAAAUAUUUAGCCUUUAUCCUGUCGAGCCUCCUCAAUAAAUGUUACACUCUUUUGUAGGAUCAUAAAUUUAUUUUUGUAAUUUUAUUUUUAUAGGACAGGAAUAUAUUUAUUUCAUUUUUACGCCACCACAGUGAAUGUACUUAUGGGUUUUAUGCCAUUAGCAUACUCACAUGGGGCUUACUAUUUUAACAUUUUUUUUUUCAAGAUGAUAUGAACCUGAUUAACUAAGCAAACUAUUUUAAGUAAUUGAAAGAAAAAAAAAGAUAACUACCAAGUUUACCUCUUGGCAAGGCGUUCGGUGUUUUUAAGUCCUCCGAACGGGACUCUCCAUUUUCUCAGUCGUCCUGGGAUUUGCUGGAUGGCGUAGUCGGUGGUUCCAGCGGCGCCUGGUCUUCAUGUAUAACUAUCUUCUCUCUCCACAUCUGACUCGGUGCUACGGUCUCCUCAGGAUAGUUUUGUUCAAGUUGUAUGUCUUCAGACCUUACAACUUCUCCUUCAUAGUCUGCCCAACUGUCCUUGAUGAUUUGCCUCCUCUGGUUGUGGUUGCGUCGUCUUCUUCUUGUCCUGACCUGCUUAGAGUCUUUAACUAUAUAGUUAGAGUGAGUAAAAUAGCGGCGUACCUUCUCAGAGGGGAAAUGCAUGUGGACUUCUCUGGUUCCAAUGUAGAUGAUUGCUUUAACGGUGUUGAGGAAUGGUCUUCCAAAGAUGACGGGUGGAUAUAAUUCGUCUUCUCCCAUGUCAAUAACCUUAAAAUCAUCUGGAGCUGAAUGUAUGUUGGUUGUAGGGGCAUGGUUCCAUGCAGGAGCUGAUAAGUGACUGCGGCCAUUAUGUUGACGUCAGAUCCAGUGUCGUAGAGUGUCUUCUGAAAAGAAUAUCCGUUGAUUGUGCAUUCAAUGCUUGGAACACCUGGGUCGUCCUUUUUUGUCAGGAAUGGUGACUUAAAUCGACAAUCUUGACCUCCUUGAACUGCAGUGACCAUCUUAGCUAACUUGGUCCACAUUUGCUUGUUCCUGUCCCUCCUGUUGGUCCUCUUCCUUGGUUCAUGUCGGGAAUGCUUUGAGAUUUGUGUAGUCUUGUUCUCGAAGGAAAACGUCUCCUUCCUCCCCUUGAUGUAGAAACUGAUCUUGGCAGCACUAGCAUAGAUGACAGCUCCUGAGGUGUUCAGGAAUGGCCUCCAUAGGAUGAUGGGUGCCCUCCCAUUAGUACCAGUCUCUAUCACCACGAAGUCUGUUGGGGCGUACAAGGUACCAACUCAGACACAGAGGCUCUUCAUUACUCCCUUUGGGAAACUUAGCGUACGAUCUGCAAGCUGCAAACACAUGGCUGUCUAAUAAAGGAUGUGUAAAGAAUUUUUCAUAGAGUACCCUAAGCAUAAUGUUGAGGCUGGAGCCAAAGUCGCAGAGUGCUUCUGGGAAGUCCACUAUGCCGACGGAGAUCGGGAUGACGGGGCGUCCUGGAUUGUCUCUGAGUAGUUUGGCCUCUGUUAAUUCCAACCUUGAUUUUGUCGAGGACGGUUGUAGUAGUAGUUGUUGUUGAAGUAGUUUACGUUCUCAAGCAUCUCAGGGCAGUGAUUGCCUGAGUGUCCAGUAUCUCCAGUGUGUUUUGCUCGUAGAUCUAGAUUCUUCACUUGGUGGAGUCUGGGAGUUGUAAAAUUCCUUCAUAUUUUGCUCGAAGUGUACCUGCUCAUUGUUGGGUAUUUUAAACGCAGAUAGAAAAAUCCGCAAGCGCACGGAUACCGAUGUAGCUUUCACCCGGGAGUAUUCCAGAGUAUCGAUUUUCCACAAAGAACAUGAGUGUACUAAUUAAGAUCCAAGAUCGCCCAAGGAUAACUAUAUAAUUAUUUUUGGUGGGAAGAGAGGAAGUUUCCUGAGAGUUCUCUAGUUGAUCUAAGAAUCAAGAAUUACUUCAAGAUUAUCUAUUUCGGGACAUCAGAACACUAACCAAAGAAAGAGAUGAGAAGGGGGUUAGGAAGCUCCGACUACGGUCCUACAAACACCGAUCCAAACGAGGUGGAAUACGUCGACCGUUAGGGCUAUCACUACCCUAAGGCUACCACAACAAUCCGCAGGAUUGGGUGCAAUUCCAGGUAAUUGCAAGACUAAACACGACGUCUAAUCUAUUAAUUACUACUCUAGCGUUAUAAAGACUAGAGCACUUGAUGCAAGCGAGAAUCCAAUAAAUAACUUGAAUGUAAAUAAAAGUAAUUAAAGAACUCAGGAAUUAUGAAUUGAAGAACUUGGAGAAUGAUGAAGAACGAACCAGUUCCUACAAAAGUAUAAUGUUGAGGAAGAUCCGACAGAUCCGGCUCCUCCUCCGCUCUCCUCUUCUCUCUCCCUAUUUUCUAGAUUACAACUAGAACUGACUAGAACUAGAACUAGAGGAACUAAAACUAGAACUAGAUGAACUAGAACUAGAUCUAGAUGAACUAGAGGUAGAACUAGAAGAACUAGAGGGAUCCUCUCUACUUGGAUGAAGAAUUGAAACCCUAACUUUGAUUCUGUAGAAGAGGUAUGAUCUCUAGGGGCCAGGAGGUCUGGUUUUAUAGUCCCUUCAAGUGAAUAUAGGCCAUUGGAUCAAACCGACAUUGAUUGAACGGUUAUCCUUGAUCCUUUAGGUCGGUGGAGCAAUAUCCCGAAAGAGAGUCCUGAUUGGACUCUGGUUGAGGGCGGGCGCCCAGGAAAGGAGGGCGGGCACCCUGUCCCUGAGUCCUCUCGGCCUCCGCUUCGGUCCCGUGGCUUCUGGAGUCUUCUAGAUGAUAGAAAAUUGCGCAGCACAUUAAUAUCUCUAUGUAAACUCGACGUGUGGUCCUUUCUUCCGUAUUUCCUGAAAACCCCCUGCAGAAAUAGACAAACACCAAAACUCGUGGAAUUCUGUAAGAUAAAACCCUAAGUCUAGGUGUUGGUUGCAUUUGGAUCCUUUUCCAUGAUUAGUUGAUGGUUAAAUAUGAGCAUUAAGGACCGUCAACAAGCUCCCCCAAGCUUAACCUUUGCUCGUCCCUGAGCAAAGAUGAACUCAAGAGUUUCUGCAGUGGUUUCAUGCUUUAACGAUACACAUGCGUUCAAACAAGAUCUCAUCUCUAGGUUAGGGUAAACUGUUAAGAUUUAAACUUUCUCAUUUUUCCUUUCACCAUGGGGCUUGCAACCGUCACUUAUGUCUUGAGCAGUUAAAAGAUAGAAUGGUCUAGUCAAGCGCCAUGUCUCUUGUUCUUCGAUUAACUAUAGCUCUGGAGUUUUUGCAGACUUCCAAAAAAACUCAGAGAUUCAUUGUAUGACUCUCUCUAGUCUCUCAUUUGUGGUAUUUCUAGAUCCUUACCAAGGCAGUAAUAGUGUAUGCCUUCUCUUAAGUAUGUGGUAUUUUUGGUAUGAGGCAUAGUGGCAUUGCCUUCUCUCUCACCCUACUCUAAUAAGGCUUUUGAUAUCUGGAGCUCAUAGGUGGGAGACAGCUAAUACAUACUUACAAGACAUUUAUUGCAUAGUCAAACCAUGGAUCCAGAGAAACAAGUCAAUAAGUCAAAUCAAGAUGUGCAUGUGUUGCGAAUGAAUGGUGUAUGGUGAUGAUGGUGAUAACAAUGGUGAAAGUCUAAUUCUACUUUUGCUCUUUUGAGACAAUACAUACCUUUCUUGCUCUUUUGAAACUUUUUGAGGAGAAUGAGAUGCUCUAUAUUUUCUCUUUUUUUUCUUUCAGGUGGGUAUCUUGUACCCCUAAUUCUACUAUCGGACACUUGUCCAUUUUUACCUCUCGUCUCACUUUUUUUUUUGAGGUUCCGGGCACUUGCCCCUUUUUAUUUCCUCGUAUCUUUUUUUCUGUUUUUUUUGGAGCACUCAUCUCUUAAAAUAAUGUAGCAAGUGGUAGUAACCAAGAUAACUUGAGCAUUUAUUUCACAGGGAAAAACAGAAAUGUUUUUGGCUAUUCUCUCCCGGAUUAGGAGUAGAAUAUUUUUAGGUGAUUCUGGAUAUGGAAAUGGGUGGAUAUAUGUGGAUGCGUACUUCCGGAGUAGAAGCAGCAUGUGUGAAUGAACGUGUAAGUGAAUCUUGAUUUUAACCACAUGACAAGCUGCUAAGGGUCUACACAGCUUGACCACACUCAAUGCUCAUAAGCAGUAAAAUGUAAAUGUGUGGCUCAAAGUCUAGCAAGCAUGUAUAAAUGGCUGUGGUAGGAAUUUAAACUCUCAUCAUACAGGAACUCAUCAUGUAACAUUUUAAAGAUUUUCAAAGAUAAAAUUCUCCAGAAUUCUAGCAUCUCUAGGAACAGAUAAACAGCAGCUCAACCUUCCCAUAUCAUAUCCGUUAACGACUUAGACUUUAGAUCAAGUACUCUUCCCACAAGUUUAGGUUUAGAGCAAAUCUUAAUUAAUAACAGUCAUGCCUAAACUUGAGAGAGAUUUCAAUUUUGAGAACUAGUCAUGGUAGAGCAACUAUUCAUUAUUUCCAUGUGAGAGCUUAUCAUGAGGGUUCAUAGCAAACUUUAUUUAUUUAUUUAUUUAGCAAACUAAGCAAAUAUAUAUAUAUGAGAACAAAAUUUUUAUUUGGGUUUUUAUGAUUAUGCAUCUUUUUAUGAUUUGAGUAAAGUAUAAACAUGAGAAGAACACUUAGCUGGAUAAAUGGGGUUGCUCUCCCCCAAGCUGGAUUUUGAUGUAAUUUCUUCUGAUGUAGCUAGCUGGUGGCGGAGGUGUAUUUGAAUGUCGGCAGCACCCUGACAGUGAUUAGGAUGUUCUCCGUCUGCUAGUCUUCUUUGAUCCUUGAAUUCUGUGGAGCUCAAAUAGACAACAAAGCUUUGUGGAACUGGUUAAGUGUUAGCAUAAAUAUCUAGCCUUUAUCAUGUUGAGCUUCCUCAAUAAAUGUUACUCUCUUUAGAAGGAUCAUAAAUUGAUUUUUAUAUUUUUAUUUUUUUAUAGGACUGGAAUAUAUUUAUUUUAUUUUUACGCCACCACAGUGAAUGUACUUAUGGGUUUUAUGCCAUGAGCAUACUCACAUGGGGCUUACUAUUUUUUAACAUUUUUAUUUUCUUUUCAAUAUGAUAUGAACCUGAUUAACUAAACAAACUAUUUUAAAUAAUUUAAAGGAAAAGGAUAACUACCAAGUUUACCUCUUGGCAAGGCGUUCAGUGUUUUUAAGUCCUCCGAACGGGACUCUCCAUUUUCUCAGUCGUCCUGGGAUUCGCUGGAUGGCGUAGUCAGUGGUUCCGGCGACGCCUCCUCUUCCUGUAUAGUUAUCUUCUCUCUACACACCUGACUCGGUGCUACGGUCUCCUCAGGACAGUUUUGUUCAAGCUGUAUGUCUUUAGACCUUACUACUUCUUCUUCAUAGUCUACCCAUCCGUCCUUGAUGAUUUGCCUUCUCUGAUUGCGGUUGCGUCGUCCUCUUCUUGUCCUGACCUGCUUAGAGUCUUCAACUAUAUAGUUAGGGUUAGUAAAAUAGCGGCGUACCGUCUCAGAGGGGAAGUUCAUGUGGACUUCUCCGGUUCCAAUGUAGAUGAUUGUUUUAACGGUGCUGAGGAACUGUCUCCCAAAGAUGAUGGGUGGAACGUACUCAUCUUCUCCCAUGUCAAUAACCUUAAAAUCCUCUGGAGCUGAAUGUAUGUUGGUUGUAGGGGCAUAGGUUCCAUGCAGGAGCUGAUAAGUGACUGCAGCCAUUAUGUUGACGUCAGAUCCGGUGUCGCAGAGUGUCUUCUGAAAAUAAUAUCCGUUGAAUGCGCACUCGAUGCUUGGAACACCAGGGUCGUCCUUCUUGAUCAAGAAAGGCGACUUGAGUUGACGAUCUUGACCUCCUUGAGCUGUAGUGACCAUCUUAGCUGACUCAGUCCAUAUUUGCUUGUUCCUGUUCCUCCUGUUGGUCCUCUUCCUAGGUUCAUGUCGGGAUUACACUGAGACUUGUGUAGUCUUGUUCUUGAAGGAAAACGUCUCCUUCCUCCCAUUGAUGUAGAAACUGAUCUUAGCAGCACUAUCGUAGAUGACAGCUCCUGAGGUGUUAAGGAAUGGCCUCCCUAGGAUGAUGGGUGCCCUCUCAUCAGUACCAGUCUUUAUUACCAAGAAGUCUGCUGGGGCGUACAAGGUACGAACUUGGACGCAGAGGUUCUUCAAUAUUCCCUUUGGGAAACUUAGUGUCCGAUCUGCAAGCCUGAGCAUAAUGUUGAUGCUGGAGCCAAAGUCGCAGAGUGCUUCUAGGAAGUCCACCAUGCCGAUGGAGAUCGGGAUGACGGGGCGUCCUGGAUCGUCUCUCUUGACCGGCAGAAGGUCAGUAAUUACAUCCACAACGGGGUUACUCCAGUAGUUAUGUCCUCAAGCAUCUUAGGGCAGUGAUUGCCUGAGUGUCCAGUAUCUCCAGUGUGUUUGUGCUCGAGAUCUAGGUUCAUCACUUGGUGGAGUCUGGGAGUUGUAAAAGUCCUUCAUAGUUUGCUUGAAGUGUACCUACUCAUAGAGACAAGGCAGAGAUCAAGUGCAUGGGCUCUGUUGGUGGAAAACACCAACAGAACCAAAAGUGUAUUUAUUCUUCUCUAUCCUUAAGCAUAGUGAGCAAGACAAAGUUGAUGGAUAAUAAGAUCAUGACUGUAGCAUUUAUAACAUUUGUCAGAUCAGAUCGCUCAACCUAAUGGAAAGAUAAUCUAUCUAUACUUAUGUUUUUUUAUAUAUCUUCCAA